GAUGAAGAACGUAGCGAAAUGCGAUAAGUAAUGUGAAUUGCAGAAUUCAGUGAAUCAUCGAGUCUUUGAACGCACAUUGCGCCCCCUGGUAUUCCGGGGGACAUGCCUGUCCGAGCGUCAUUGCUGCCCUCAAGCACGGCUUGUGUGUUGGGCCCCCGUCCCCGGUUUCCCCCGGGGACGGGCCCGAAAGGCAGCGGCGGCACCGCGUCCGGUCCUCGAGCGUAUGGGGCUUUGUCACCCGCUCUGUAGGCCCGGCCGGCGCCAGCCGACACCCAACUUUAUUUCUAAGGUUGACCUCGGAUCAGGUAGGGAUACCCGCUGAACUUAAGCAUAUCAAUAAGCGGAGGA
rnacentral:misc_RNA from 1 species